rnacentral:rRNA from 1 species
AUACUGAAUACAUAGGUAUGCAGAGCGAACCGAGGGAAGUGAAACAUCUCAGUACCUCGAGGAGAAGAAAUCAAACAGAGAUUCCCCCAGUAGCGGCGAGCGACCGGGGAAGAGUCUAAACCAGAGAUACAUGUAUUUCUGGGGUUGUGGGGCGUUCGACACGAGACUUAAGUUCAUAGCUGAGGGGCCUGGAAAGGCCCGGCAUAGAGGGUGAUACCCCCGUAGGCGAAAUGAACGAGAGCUCUAGAGCUGUCCCCAAGUACCACAGGGCACGAGAAACCCGGUGGGAAUCAGGGUGGACCAUCAUCCAAGACUAAAUAUCUGCUAGUGACCGAUAGCGUAUAGUACCGUGAGGGAAAGGUGAAAAGUACCCCGAUGAGGGGAGUGAAAAAGUACCUGAAACCGCAUGUCUACAAGCUGUGGAAGGACUAUGCCGCGCAAGCGGAAUGUCCGACCGCGUACCUUUUGCAUCAUGGGUUGGCGACUCAGUCUUUGCAGCAAGGUUAAGCCGAUUGAGGUGAAGCCGAAGGGAAACCGAGUCUGAAUAGGGCGCAUAGUUGCAGGGAUUGGACCCGAAGCCGGUCGAUCUACCUAUGGCCAGGAUGAAGCGAGGGUAAAACCUCGUGGAGGUCCGAACGGGUGAAAGUUGAAAAUUUCUCCGAUGAGCUGUGGGUAGGGGUGAAAGGCCAAUCAAGGCCGGUGAUAGCUGGUUCUCCCCGAAAGAUAUCUAGGUAUCGCCUCGAGAGAUUCAGUAUUGGAGGUAGAGCACUGGAUGGGCUAGGGCACUUACCCGUGUACCAAACCCAACCAAACUCCGAAUGCCAAUAACUGUUACCUCGGGAGACAGUCCUCGGGUGAUAAGGUCCGAGGGCGAGAGGGAAACAACCCAGACCAACAGCUAAGGCCCCAAAAUCUUAACUAAGUGGAAAAGGAUGUGGAGGCGCAUUGACAACCAGGAGGUUGGCUUAGAAGCAGCAAUCCUUUAAAGAAAGCGUAAUAGCUCACUGGUCAAGUGAAUCCGCGCCGAAAAUGUAACGGGGCUCAAGUUAAGUGCCGAAGCU